UACGGGGGGGGUUAGUGUUAUUCAUCGUUACUGGGUGUAAAGCGCGCGAGGCGGUUUUAUAAGUAUCAAUUAUAAUAAUCCAAGCUUAACUUGGAAGAUAAUUUUUAUACUGUUAAACUAGAGGUUAAAGGAAGAAAGCUAUAACUUCUCAGAAAAAGGUGAAAUUUGUCCGAACUGGGGGGGGAUAACCUGCAGGCGAAAGCGGCUUUCUAUUUUGAUUACUGA
rnacentral:rRNA from 1 species